ACAAAAAAUCGAAAAUAAAAUACAAUAUAAUACUAAUCGUAAUGCUGCUAUUCCACCAGUCAUUCAAUUAUUGGUUACACUCAGAUUUUAUGCAACUGGAUGCUUUUUAAUAACAGCUGCUGAUUUUUGUGGAAUUAGUGAAACAAGCGCUCACAAAAUUAUUCAUAGAGUAUCUCCUGAGAUUGCUGCAUUACGAAACGAUUUUAUAAAAUUACCUCUUUUAUCUGAGGAAAUUCGAGAAAAUGAACAAAAAUUUUUCAAAGUAGCCAAAUUUAUUCGUGUUAUUGGUUGUAUGGAUUGCACACAUAUUAAAGUGGAAUCAUUUGGAGGAGAAAAUUGCGAAUUAUAUCGCAAUAGAAAAGGCUUUUUUUCUAUAAAUGUGCAAGUCAUAAUAAAUAGCCA